rnacentral:tRNA from 1 species
AAGGGCACAGCUCAGUGAUAGAGCGCAUGCUUAGCAUGCAUGAGGUCAUGGGUUCGAUCCCCAGUACCUCCA